rnacentral:rRNA from 1 species
UAGGGAAUCUUCCGCAAUGGACGAAAGUCUGACGGAGCAACGCCGCGUGAGUGAUGAAGGUUUUCGGAUCGUAAAACUCUGUUGUUAGGGAAGAACAAGUAUCGGAGUAACUGCCGGUACCUUGACGGUACCUAACCAGAAAGCCACGGCUAACUACGUGCCAGCAGCCGCGGUAAUACGUAGGUGGCAAGCGUUGUCCGGAAUUAUUGGGCGUAAAGCGCGCGCAGGCGGUCCCUUAAGUCUGAUGUGAAAGCCCACGGCUCAACCGUGGAGGGUCAUUGGAAACUGGGGAACUUGAGUGCAGAAGAGAAGAGCGGAAUUCCACGUGUAGCGGUGAAAUGCGUAGAGAUGUGGAGGAACACCAGUGGCGAAGGCGGCUCUUUGGUCUGUAACUGACGCUGAGGCGCGAAAGCGUGGGGAGCAAACAG